UUAUGAUGAUGUGCGUGUGAACUUCACUGAGGAAGAGUGGGAUUUGCUGGAUCCUUCCCAGAAAAGUCUCUAUGAAGAGGUGAUGCUGGAGACCUACCAGAACAUCACUGCUAUAGGCUACAAUUUGGAAGACCAUCAUAUUGAAGAACAUAGUCAAAGUUCUAGAAGACAUGAAAGGCAUGAAAGAAUUCAUAUUGGAGAGAAACCGUAUGAACGUAACCAGUGUGGUAAAGCCUUUGCAAGUGACAAUCAUCUCCAAAUACAUAAAAGAACAAAUACUGGAGAGAAACCUUAUGAAUGUAAUCAAUGUGGUAAAGCCUUUUCACAACGCAGUAAUCUCCAAUAUCAUAUUAGAAGUCAUACUGGAGAGAAGCCCUAUAAAUGUAAUCAGUGUGGUAAAGCCUAUGGACAUCACAGUAGUCUCCAAUAUCAUAAAAGAACACAUACUGGAGAGAAACCUUAUCACUGUAAUCAAUGUGAUAAAGCAUUUUCAGAACACAGUAGUCUUGAAUAUCAUAAAAUAACACAUACUGGAGUGAAACCUUAUGAGUGUGAUCAAUGUGGUAAAGCCUUUGCAUGGCAGUCUAGUCUCAAUAUACAUAAAAGAACACAUUCUGGAGAGAAACCUUAUAAGUGUAAUGAAUGUGGUAAAGCCUUUGCACAUCACAAUAGUCUCCAAUGUCAUAAAAGAACACAUACUGGAGAGAGACCUUAUCAGUGUGAUCUGUGUGAUAAAGCAUUUACUCAUCAAAAUAAUCUCCAAUAUCAUAAAAGAACACAUACUGGAAAGAAUCCUUAUGAAUGCAAUCAAUGUGGUAAAGCCUUUGCAAGUCACAGUCAUCUCCAACUACAUGAAAGAACACAUUUUAGAAAAACACCUUAGAAUGCAAUCAAUGUUGUAAAGACUUUGGAUGGAUGACUAAUCUCCAAAGACAUAAAAGAACAUAUACUGGACAGAAACCUUAUGAAUGUAAUCAAUGUGGUAAAGCAUUUGCAACUCACAGUCAUCUACAGCGACAUAAAAGAACACAGAGGAGAGAAACCUGGUUAUUGUUUACAUAUGGACAUAAGGAGAUACAAGUAUGUAUCAAAUUGACAAGGGAUGGAUUGUGAUUGCUGCUCUUGGUUUUCAAUAUAAGAUCAAAAGUGGAAAGCAUAGGUCCAGGCAUGGUGGUACAUGCCCUUGAACCCUAGGAGAUGAGCAUCAAGCAGAUCUCUGAGUUCAAGUCCAUCCUGAUACAGAACAAGUUAAAGGUGAAGAAAUUCUUAGGUCUAGCCCUGUGGAUACAGAGCUUUGCAGAUUUCUGAGUUCAAGGUCAAUAUAUAGAGCAAGUUCAAGGACAGCCAAGCUGAGGAAGUAAAGGAGUUGGAGAACAGAAAACUGGUGAUAAUGUAAUAGAAGAGGCCAUGUCCCAGGCCCAGAAAGCAGCAGAACUCAGCAACUUUGUCCAUGUGGCUCUGACUUUAGAGGUAAGAAUAGAAGGGACUACUGGGAAAAUUGAAGUUCGUUAGCUGUGGCUGAGAAAUUAGAAGUGAUGAAGAAGAGACCAGCAUCAUUGAGGUGAAAUCUUCUAGGAACUGUUUUCUGAGAGGACAAAGAAACUGUGUUCAGAGAUAGCCAGGAUUGUACCUUGUGUUGCAGCUGAACUUGGUCUCAUGUAAGAAUCACCCAGGUGGUACUGGUUUUGAAGGCAUAACAGUGUCAUGAGGAGCAGCUGAGGCUUGGACCAAUGAAGAGAGCAUAAGUGAGACUAUCAGUGAAGCCUAGUUGCAGCAGAAGAACCCAACAUAUUGAAGAUGCCAGUCCAAUGGGAUGAGCAGAAAGAACAGCCCAGUAGAGUGGAGUCAACAAGAGCUUAGAGUGAUACAGAGGUCAGAGCUAGAGAAGUGACCUUAUCUCUCUGGAGGACUGCAGAAGAUCAUGUGUGGAUCCAAGACAUUGGAACAAGAAACUGUAACACUGAGGUUACCUUCGAGACCCCAAGAUCUUUGAGAUGUCAGAGCUGUGGGGUACCUGCUCAGGAAAAACCAGCCAAAGAGAAAGAAUUGUGCUGCAGUGAACACAGCAGAAAGGAGUUGGAGAUCUGAAGAAUGCUUUAACAUCAGACAUAGAGAUGCAGUUUGGAGAUUUCCAAGCUGACUUUUGGUUUUGUUUUGGUCCACUAUUUCCUCAUGAUGACAUUUAGGAUUGUUAAAGUCUAUGUUUUGAAGUGGUAGUAUAUGAUCUGCUUUUAGAUUUUCUUUUUUAGGGGAUUACAGUUACAUUGAAUGAAUCUCAGAAGAGACUUUGACCUUUGGACUUUUAACAUUUUUGAGAGUGGAAUAGAUGAUGGGGACUUUUGAGGUUGGACCUCGUGUAUUUUUCAUUAUGCAUGUUUAAGUAUGGUCCUCAUACAUUCCUGUACUCCAACAUGGUUAUGGGGGCCAUUGAAUGGAAUGUGGGAGUUUGAAUAUGCUUGUCACAGGGAGUGACUCUAUUUAGUGGUGUGAGCUUGUUGGAGGAAGUGGAUAUCUCUGGGGGUGGACUCUGAAGCUCCACCAAGUGCAAAACAGACCCUCCUAUUCCCUCCCUGGAAGACAGUUUCUUCCUGGCUGCCUUUGGAUCAAAAUGCAGAACUCUCAGCUCCUCCAGCAUCAUGUCUGCCUGCAUGCUGCUGCUGUGCUUCCUGCUAUGAUGAAAAUGGACUAAACCUCUGAAACUGUAAGCCAGCCCCAAUUAAAGGUUUGCUUUUAUGAGAGUUGCCUUGGUCAUGAUGUCUAUUCCUAGCGAUGGAAACACUAAGACAGAAACCUUGGGAGUUUAUUUAAUAUGGUGAAGCGUUUGCACAAUUCUGUGGGCUUCAUCAUCAUGAAAGAAUAUGUACUGGAGCCAGACAGUGGUGGUGCAUGCCUUUAAUCCCAGCACUUGGGAGGAAGAUGCAGGAGGACCUCUGAGUUCUCGGCCAGCCUGGUCUACAAAGUGAGUUCCAGGACAGCCUGGGCUAUAGAGAGAAACCCUGUCUUGAAAAACCAAAACACAACAAAACAGUAUGUUUUGGAGAGAAACCUUUUGAAUGUACUUACUAUGGUUAAGCUUCUUCCUACGGUUAAGAAGGAAUGACUUUGACAGAUACAGUUCUCAUUCUCUGUCUUUAGAACGUGAGCAUCACAUAGGAGUUCCGACAAGCUCAUUCUUGGACCCUGUCUACAUGUGUUAAAUCAGAAGUUUUGCUCUCAGUGUAUGACCUCUAGAAAAAUA
rnacentral:lncRNA from 1 species